AGGAUGCCGACAAGAACAUCAUCAAACACCUGAAGUCCGCCGAUCGACUCGUUCAUCAGAGCUCCACCAAGCACAGCUAUCCCUUCUGCUGGCGGUCCGAGACUCCUCUCAUUUACCGAGCAGUUCCAUCUUGGUUUAUACGUGUCGAACAUAUGACAGAAAAGUUGCUCCAGACAAACCAAGAAACAUACUGGGUACCAGAGUUUGUUAAGGAGAAAAGGUUUGCUAAUUGGCUGAGAGAUGCACAUGAUUGGGCUGUCUCGAGGAACCGCUACUGGGGAACACCAAUCC